CCCUGAUGAACGUUCUGCUAUUUUAACAUGGAUGGCAUUCCAGAACUACUCACUUCCUCGUCAAUCUGGGACAGCUUGAGGGAUGCAGAUCUGGAGCUCUCGGAGGCGUAGUUCAGGGGGAAGCUGAAGGACAGAAAGAGGAUUUGUAAAAUGACAAAGCAAAGCAGGGGACAGAGCUCUAUCCUGAUUUCAGGGUUCAGAAAAAUGACAGUUUCUAUACACUGUAAACCUAUAUGUGUAACUACUACUUCUGGAGUGUGCAGCCCUAAACCAGAGGGCACUGGCACCUUUACUGCAAAACAGAUGAAAGCAUCACGAAUAUCCCCUUGUGAACAGCUGUCUGCCUUUUUCUGGAGCUCUGCAGGUAAGGUAUUGCGUUUCUUUAAUUCAGAUCACAUUAAUAAUAAAGCUCUAAUUUCAAAAUUCCAGAAUA